UACAGAGGUCCCGAGCGUUGUUCGGAUUUAUUGGGCGUAAAGGGUGCGUAGGCGGCGGAGUAAGUUGGGUGUGAAAUCCCGGGGCUCAACCUCGGAAUGGCAUUCAAUACUGCUUCGCUAGAGUACUGGAGAGGAGGCUGGAAUUUACGGUGUAGCAGUGAAAUGCGUAGAGAUCCGGAAGAACACCGGUGGCGAAGGCGGUCUGCUGGGCAGUUGCUGACACUGAGGCGCGACAGCGUGGGGAGCAAACAGG
rnacentral:rRNA from 1 species